GGAAGACUUCGUAUGUGUAUUGGAGCAUUCCAAGAUGCAUUGUUCCCCAAGUGCUUCCUGAUCAGCUUUUCACUUCCAGCUCAAGUAUUAGGAGCAAGUUUGAGUCUGUACCACCAAAUUCAUAUCCAGGUCUGGUCUGUGAACUCCCACAGAUGGUGGACUUCACCAAGUUCUUCAUUCAAGAAAAUGCGACUCUCCAAACUUUGGCUUCUUCAUUUUCCUCUAUGAUUCUGCAACAAGGAGAUGGGGAGGAGCGUGCCUGGAGAGGUGUGAGCUCAACUCUAUGUGCUGGAGAAGCAGCUUCUCUUUCUCUGUGACCCUCCUGUUGGAGUUCUCCCCGCCUCCUGCUGACGGUCUGUCACUGGCAUGACAAGGUAGCACAUCUUGUUUGAAUCCCGGAACCUUUGGCUGGGUCCCUCACCUUCCCAGCUCCAGGAUAUAUAAACUAAUGGGGUGUGAUGACCAUAUUUGAUUGGUCUACAUAUUAAAAUUGGGCUUCCCUUUGGAAAAAAGAUGCUAGGGCCUAGAGUCUUGCAUCUAACUCCUAGCUCUGCUGUAAGCUUUGCUCUGCCACGGGAGUAUCAGUCACAGUGAAGAUAGCAGAGUGCAUGCAGCACAACGUGAACAGCAACACUUGGUUUUGUUCUGGCUUAAAAUAAAGGCUGGAGAUGUGCUCCAAGUCUCAGUAUUUAGACUGGGAUUUUGAACCACCACAAACCUUGGGAGUUUUUGCACCUAUGUGCUUGAUUCAGGCUUCUCUGUAAUAGAGACUCGAUAGCUGUCUAGAUCAAUUUCUUCAAUCUUUUUAGGGUAGUGACCCUUUAUUCUAAGUCAAAACCAUUUUGUGACACCCCCUUACAUUUACUGUAAAAGAAUAAAAAAUACAUCAAUGAUAACAAUAAGCCUAGAUAAUAUAUUUGUGUGGGUGUUUUGAGAUGCUGACAGAGGCUAAUUGACCUUGAAGGACAAGGGUGUGUGGGGAGUGGGGAAGCAAGAUCAUCUUUGCUUUAGAUUGUAAUAACAUUUUCAAUGCCUCAGACUCCCCACUCCCACCCUCAAUUUCCUUUUGUGACCAAUUGAGAAACACUGGUCUAGAUGGUUGCCAAAUAGCCUGCAAUGCAGCCAGUGCCUUAGUGGAGAAUGAGAAGAAUGAUCUCCCAUUUACAAUCAUUUCUUUUCCCUGUAAUAAUACACACACUAGAAACAAACCCAGUCGACAAGGUGGUAUCUGAUGAUUUAAAAACUUUGAUUCACAAGUAUUUAGGCUUUGUCUCUGCUUAGAUGCCAGAGGACAGAAAAUGCAAUACUCCUUUUCUUAGCAGAACAUUUCUGAUUCGUCUGUUUAGUAUCUUUAUUUCCCUUCUCAUGAAGUCGGCAGAAAGUAAGUCUGUCAGCAAUUCAUGACUGCUUCCCUUCUCAUCGCCUAGCCCCUGAUCACCAGAAAGACAUUAGUGCAAUUUAUGAUUCAUGCCUUGCCUUGCCAGAACAAUAUGCAAUCUGAUUACAUCUGGAGACUCUGAAGAAGUGGUGGGUGUUAAUGCAUUGACUUGUAAUUUGUGUUCAGUCCAGAGAUUCCCACCCCAACAAAACUCUAUGGUGAAGUGCUACCACAAGUCCCCAGAUGGAUUUCCAGAAGGAGCUCUCCACUGAAACCAUAGCCACCGAGUUACCUUCUUCUAGUCACUGCAGAGAAGAAAUGCAUGUUUCCUAUGCACUAGCAAGCUUUAUUAGGCUAUGAUGGGUCAGCAAUGUACAGCACACCUGCCAAGGUGGCACGCAAGCCGAUUUUUGAUGGCACAUGGUGCCAGGCUGAGCGGCUCAGCCUGCUGCCACUCUGGGGUUUCCACCGCUGGUCCCACUCAGCGCCUGCUGCUGGCCUGGGUGAAGGAACCCCAGGCUGGCAGAAGCCAGCGGCUGAAACCCCAGAGCGGGGGCGGCUGAGCCACUCAGCCCGCCGCCACUCAGGGGUUCCCGCUGCUGGCCCCUUCCCAGCUGGGGUCCCGCUGCCGGCCCCACUCAGCGCCUGCUGCUGGCCUGGGUGAAGGAACCCCAGGCUGGCAGCGGGUUGAGACCCCGGCUGGCAGGAGCCGGCGGCCGGAACUCCAGAGCGGCGGUGGGCUGAGCCGCUCAGUCACUGCUCUGGAGUUCUGGCUGCUGGCCCCUUGCCAGCCGGGGUCCCUGCCACAGCCCCACUCACCUUGCUUCCAGUUGGAGUUCCAACGCAGGCCCCCUGCCAGACAGGGUCCAAGCCUCUGGCCCUGCUCUGCCCUACCAGCUGCCAGCUCCGCUCACCUCAGCUGCCGAUCUGGGGUUCCAGCCGCUGACCUCCUGCCAGCCAGUUAACAACUGAUCACUCAGAAGCCUGUGUGCAGCUUAAAAUAUCCAAAUAUAUGCCAGACAUUGGAAAACUCAGCAAGGAAAAGCAAGG